rnacentral:rRNA from 1 species
AGCUCCAAUAGCGUAUAUUAAAGUUGUUGCGGUAAAAAAGCUCGUAGUUGGAUUUCUGAGUAGAACGAUGGGUCUGCACAACGUGCAUUGAUCUCACUCGGUCUGUUCAUCUUUUCGCAAGACGACUCUGCGCUUGAUUGCGUGGAUCGGAUUACGGAACUUUUACUUUGAGGAAAUUAGAGUGUUCACGGCAGGCUAUCGCCAGAAUACAUUAGCAUGGAAUAAUACUAUAGGAUCUUGAUUCUAUUUUGUUGGUUUCUAGGAUUAAGAUAAUGAUUAAUAGGGACAAUUGGGGGCAUUCGUAUCAACACGUCAGAGGUGGAAUUCUUGGAUUGUGUUGCGACGAACUACUGCGAAAGCAUUUGCCAAGGAUGUUUUCA